CGGGGGAGGCCGGAUCCUGGACUGUGUCCGAUGCCCAGUGCUCCGGGGCCUGCGCUGUUGGAUUAGCGCUCCCGCCCCGCAGCCCCCU
rnacentral:pre_miRNA from 1 species